AGGUAGUGAAAAUAUUUUUACAAACCUAUUUAUUAUGGCGGCAUUUUAUUUUAUUAGAGGAACUUGUUUUAUAAUCGAUAAUCCACGUUAAUUUUUACUUUAAUUAAAAAUUUAUAUACCUCCAUCUACAGAAUUAAUUUUCAAAUAUUAUUCUCAAUAAAAAAUAAAAAGUUAGGUCAAGGUGUAAUCUAUAUUAAAGAUUAAAUGAGUUACAUUAAAAAUAAUUUAGGGAUUAAAUAAUAUUAUUUCUUUAUUAAAAAGAAUUUAAAAGUAAUAUAUUUAAUAAUAAUUUAUUAUGAAUUAAAUAAUAAAUGUGU
rnacentral:rRNA from 1 species